AUUGAACGCUGGCGGCAGGCCUAACACAUGCAAGUCGAACGGUAACAGGAAGCAGCUUGCUGCUUCGCUGACGAGUGGCGGACGGGUGAGUAAUGUCUGGGAAACUGCCUGAUGGAGGGGGAUAACUACUGGAAACGGUAGCUAAUACCGCAUAAUGUCGCAAGACCAAAGAGAGGGACCUUCGGGCCUCUUGCCAUUGGAUGUGCCCAGAUGGGAUUAGCUUGUUGGUGGGGUAACGGCUCACCAAGGCGACGAUCCCUAGCUGGUCUGAGAGGAUGACCAGCCACAGUGGAACUGGGACACGGUCCAGACUCCUACGGGAGGCAGCAGUGGGGAAUAUUGCACAAUGGGCGCAAGCCUGAUGCAGCCAUGCCGCGUGUAUGAAGGAGGCCUUCGGGUUGUAAAGUACUUUCAGCGGGGAGGAAGGCGGUGAGGUUAAUAACCUCAUCGAUUGACGUUACUCGCAGAAGAAGCACCGGCUAACUCCGUGCCAGCAGCCGCCGUAA
rnacentral:rRNA from 1 species